UUAAAGUUUUAUUUUGGCUUUUAAAUUUGUUGUUAGUUUAAUUUAUAUGUAAUUUUUUGAGUGAAGUUUUAUUUAUUUAAAUAGUAGAUAAUUUUAUUAAUAUUCGCAGUAAUUAAUAUUAUUUAUUAAAGAAAUUUAGAAAUAGUUAUAUUAAAGAGUAUUGGUUAAAUUUGUGCCAGCAGCCGUGGUUAUACAAAUAAUGCGAGUGAUUUUUUUUUAAUUAGAUUAAAAUUAAUAUUUAUUAAAAUUAAAUUAAUUUAUUAGGUGAAAUUUUAAAUUAAUAAUUUUUAUGUAUAAAUUAAUUGAAAAUUAGAAAUUUUUUGGUUAAACUAGGAUUAGAUACCCUAUUAUUAAAAAUGUAUUAAAAAGUUAAGGUAGUAUUAGUUAUGUUCUUGAAACUUAAAAAAUUUGGCGGUAUUUUAGUCUAUUCAGAGGAAUUUGUUUUGUAAUUGAUAAUCCACGAUGGACCUUACUUAAAUUUGUUAAGUUUAUAUACCGUCGUUAUUAGAAUAUUUUAUAAGAAUGUUAAUUUUCUAAAUUUUAAAUUAUAAAGGAUAUCAGAUCAAGGUGUAGCUAAUAUUUAAGUAUAAAUGGGUUACAAUAAAUUUAUUUAAACGAAUAUAAAUUUGAAAUAUUUAUUGAAGGUGGAUUUGGUAGUAAAAUUAUAAAGAUUAAUAUUUUGACUUUAGCUCUAAAAUAUGCACACAUCGCCCGUCACUCUUAUUAUUAAGGUAAGAUAAGUCGUAACAUAGUAGAUGUACUGGAAAGUGUAUCUAGAAUGCA
rnacentral:ncRNA from 1 species